rnacentral:rRNA from 1 species
CCAGACUCCUACGGGAGGCAGCAGUGGGGAAUAUUGCACAAUGGGGGGAACCCUGAUGCAGCGACGCCGCGUGAGUGAAGAAGUAUUUCGGUAUGUAAAGCUCUAUCAGCAGGGACGAAGAUGACGGUACCUGCAGAAGAAGCCCCGGCUAACUACGUGCCAGCAGCCGCGGUAAUACGUAGGGGGCAAGCGUUAUCCGGAUUUACUGGGUGUAAAGGGAGCGUAGACGGCGAUGCAAGUCUGAAGUGAAAGGCGGGGGCCCAACCCCCGGACUGCUUUGGAAACUGUAUGGCUGGAGUGCAGGAGAGGUAAGUGGAAUUCCUAGUGUAGCGGUGAAAUGCGUAGAUAUCAGGAGGAACACCGGUGGCGAGGGCGGCCUGCUGGACUGCGACUGACGUUGAGGCCCGAAAGCGUGGGGAGCAAACAGGAUUAGAUACCCUGGUACC